rnacentral:lncRNA from 1 species
CUUCUAGAUCAAUGUUAUCAUCCAAUAUUUAUAGCAGAAUUAUCACAUUUCGGAAUAUUUUGUAAAUCUCUCUUAUUAUUAUUAUUAGGACCUUUUGAAACUUUAUGGAGCCACUUUUUCUUUUUUUCUGUAACAUUGUGUCACUAUAUCGCACACGUACUUUUAAAGUGACACAAGUCAAAAAACUUGCAUUUUUGUGUUGGCACCAUUUUAAAACUUGGAAAGCAAUCCUCCAUCAAACAUCAAAAGCGUAUUUUGAAACGUUUUUCCUAAGGCGUACAAAUUUUGGAAAAAUUAUUAGUUAUGUAAUGGUUUUUGGUUAGCUGAUUUCAUAGUUUUCCCAAUUUUCCGAAACCGUUCAUUUUUGACUUGUGUCACUUUAGAAAUAUGUGUGCGAUAUGACUGUAAGAGUUAAAACAAAG